rnacentral:rRNA from 1 species
GAUGAACGCUGGCGGCGUGCCUAAUACAUGCAAGUCGAGCGAACAGACGAGGAGCUUGCUCCUCUGACGUUAGCGGCGGACGGGUGAGUAACACGUGGAUAACCUACCUAUAAGACUGGGAUAACUUCGGGAAACCGGAGCUAAUACCGGAUAAUAUAUUGAACCGCAUGGUUCAAUAGUGAAAGACGGUUUUGCUGUCACUUAUAGAUGGAUCCGCGCCGCAUUAGCUAGUUGGUAAGGUAACGGCUUACCAAGGCAACGAUGCGUAGCCGACCUGAGAGGGGAAUCGGCCACACUGAACCGGAGACACGGUCCAGACCCCUAGGGAAGGCACAAGAAGGGAAUUUUCCGAAUUGGGCGAAAGCCUGACGAAGAAACGCCGCGUGGGUAAUGAGGGUCUUCGGUUCGAAAAACUCUGUUAUUGGGAAAAAAAAAAGGUGUAAGUAACUAUGCACGUCUUAACGGUACCAAAUCAAAAGGCCACGGCAAACUACGU